rnacentral:tRNA from 1 species
AGAUAUGUGCCUGAAUAAAGGGUUAAUUUGAUAGAUUAAAUAAUGGAAUAUUUUUUUAG